UACGGAGGGUGCAAGCGUUAUCCGGAUUCACUGGGCUUAAAGGGUGCGUAGGCGGGAAUGUAAGUCAGUGGUGAAAUCUCCGUGCUUAACAUGGAAACUGCCAUUGAUACUAUGUUUCUUGAAUUUUCUGGAGGUAAGCGGAAUAUGUCAUGUAGCGGUGAAAUGCUUAGAUAUGACAUAGAACACCAAUUGCGAAGGCAGCUUGCUACAGGGAUAUUGACACUGAGGCACGAAAGCGUGGGGAUCAAACAGG
rnacentral:rRNA from 1 species